CUUGUUCAAGGGCCUGAUUGUGGAACCUUUUUAUUUAUUUUUUUGGCAAGGAGCCAAUGUCUUUUAAUUGUUUUCAAAGGUGAACCCAGAGUUGAAACACUAACGACUGAUUCACACUGGGCUUCAGCGUCAAUGCUUGACUGAGGAAGCGUCUGAAGUUGGGGCUGACGUGAUCAUCAUAGCAGCUUCAGCCAAUGUGAUCGAUGCUGCGCUGACGUCCCGCAGGUUCACGGCCACCGUCAACAGUCUAUUGACCCUCCAGUCUUCAGAAAUUGAUUGCAUUGCACAGAGUGCCCUCCACAUAUAAUCAAAAGGCAGGCGGCCAGCUGAGACGGGAAGCUGUGCCUUUGAGACGCAUUGCCUUCACGAGGUAUGGAGAACUGAAGCCUUUCAGCAGAAGCUCAUGCUGCGUCCUGAAGGAGAUGCAUGAAUAAACAACAAAGCAGCAUUUUCAAAUGUUCACUCCUCAAUGAAAUGACUCUGUUUGCUUGGAUGUAAUCUGACUCUAUAGAAUAUUUUCAUGGACAUCUGUUGACCUGUUUUGUGUUUAGGGAAAGGUGUUCUUUUUCCGAACACCUGCAACACUUGCAGCACAUCUGAGCUGUUCUGGGAUGGAAAUGUGAGAAUAUAUUUGCUUGUAUUUUCCUCA